CAACAAGACAGAUUUUCUGCACCAUCCCCUUUCAACACCACACAUCUUCUCGCAAGUGAGACAGAAAAGAAGUGGGACAAAUUGCACAAGGCGAUUUAAAAAAGCGGAAGAAAUUGGAUUUUCAAGACUCAAAGCGUCCCCCAAGACCCUCCGGUAGGAAAAGAAAAAAAAUAUCACCGGAGGUGGAAAAAAUAUAUACACAUCUAUAUCUCGA